GGGGAUUUAGCUCAGUGGUAGAGUGCUUGCCUAGCAAGUGCAAGGCCCUGGGUUCAAUCCCCAGCUCCG
rnacentral:tRNA from 1 species